rnacentral:rRNA from 1 species
UACGGAGGGUGCAAGCGUUAUCCGGAUUCACUGGGUUUAAAGGGUGCGUAGGCGGUUAGGUAAGUCCGUGGUGAAAUCCUGCAGCUUAACUGCAGAACUGCCAUGGAUACUAUCUAUCUUGAAUGUCGUGGAGGUUAGCGGAAUAUGUCAUGUAGCGGUGAAAUGCUUAGAGAUGACAUAGAACACCCAUGGCGAAGGCAGCUAACUACGCGAUAAUUGACGCUGAUGCACGAAAGCGUGGGGAUCAAACAGG